ACCUCUUCUUACAGAUUCAGGCCUUUUAAUGCUGCAUAAUGGCAGUGGAGUUAUUCUGCUUAAUUAUGCCAGUGGAUAUAUUCUGCCUAAUAAAGAUUUCCGGAGCACACACACACACACACUUGGAAGGAGACGAGGGGACAAAGGAAGACUGGGUGUCGACGUAGGUGACUGGAUGAUAACUUGGAUGACUGGAUGUUGACUUGGGAUGACUAGAACGAGUGCUGGUGAUGAGGGUUGAUGAGUGACAGGUGUGCCUGAUUAGUACUCCUGUGAGUGUGAAGGUUGAGCGAAUGAGGGAGAGCCUGGCGUGAUCGUG